CUGUCUCCCACCAGGAGAGUUUUGGCCACGUUUACAACCUAGUUCUGCCCAUGAAGGCACCAGCUGUCACCAGCUCAACCACGCAGUAGAUUAGGCACUGCAUAUAAGGCAUUGGCGACUCACUGACAAACAAGUUGCACUUCCUGAAGAGAGUGUGCAACUAUGGUCCACUGAAAGAGACAUCCAGAAAGUGGCUGUCAAUGACAGAAGUGAGAAAUAAGACUGCAGGACUUACUUAGAAGCCACAUUUUUCUUCUGGUCCAUAAACUGUGAAUCUUUGUAUGGUUUGCAAAACCAACGACCCCAGAGGUCAAGCAGGGAAAACAAAACUCAUCAUCUGUAAACCUGAUCCAGUUUUGCUUUAUUCUGAUUUUUGCCAUUAAACUUUAAACAGAG
rnacentral:lncRNA from 10 species